CCUACGGGGGGCAGCAGUGGGGAAUAUUGGACAAUGGGGGGAACCCUGAUCCAGCCAUGCCGCGUGUGUGAAGAAGGCCCUCGGGUUGUAAAGCACUUUCAGUGAGGAAGAACGCCUGGUGGUUAAUACCCGUCAGGAAAGACAUCACUCACAGAAGAAGCACCGGCUAACUCCGUGCCAGCAGCCGCGGUAAUACGGAGGGUGCGAGCGUUAAUCGGAAUUACUGGGCGUAAAGCGCGCGUAGGUGGCUUGAUAAGCCGGUUGUGAAAGCCCCGGGCUCAACCUGGGAACGGCAUCCGGAACUGUCAAGCUAGAGUGCAGGAGAGGAAGGUAGAAUUCCCGGUGUAGCGGUGAAAUGCGUAGAGAUCGGGAGGAAUACCAGUGGCGAAGGCGGCCUUCUGGACUGACACUGACGCUGAGGUGCGAAAGCGUGGGUAGCAAACAGGAUUAGAUACCCGAGUAGUC
rnacentral:rRNA from 1 species